UCCGUCCAGGCUGAGUUGUAAAAGCCCAGUGUUCUGGUGGCUGUGACACAGUAAGGACACUGUGCUGCUGUUGGGUUUGCUCUUGUUAUACAUAAUCAUUGUCAUCAUCCCUUUGUCUCUCUCUCUCCAGCUCACGGCUCAAAUGACAGCUCGGAGGCCAGCCGGGUCAGGCCAGAAAUCCACUAAAGGCUGAUGAUUGCCUGUGAUUACAGCCUGUGUCCUCCCGGAUGCCUCCCGCCGACCGUCUCCUCUGGGCUCAUCUGGCGGCUCUCCGCACUCCAACGUUAACCGGAGCGAGGAAAAUCUCGGGGCAUGGGGGCGCAGACACGCUUUCCCCCCCCCCCCCCCCCCCUCCACCUUGACAUCGCCUGGAGGUGACACCAUUCAUUUUCAGAGUGAAGUACAGCUCUCGGAGACAACUCGACGGACAUCUGUGCACCUGUAACAACCAGCCUCAGGGAUGCAAAAGUUGUCACAAGUCCACCUGGGUGAACGACGCCAGCUACGCAAUUCCCUAAAAUAGGCAGUGAAGCAGAAAGCACAACUAACAAGAAAAUGACCCCAUGGAUCCUGAUGAUGAUGAUUGGCGCAGGAAACACACGAACCUUCCACAGCCAAGCACGCAGCAGGCAGAAGCAAAGCUGACAGAAAUAAACACUGAAUUAUCGAAUUAAUACUGUACUUCCACACUGGAUUUGUCAUUCGGCAGCCUUUCCCAGUGUCAGAACCUCGGGAGAACCCGGGACAAAAGAGCAAUUAGACACAGCAAGCGCACAGUCUUUCUGUAAUAAAUCCUGUCUCAAAUGGAUGGGAAAAUGAUGGCUGCCAGCCCAGUUUUGUGAACAUGUUAUAUUAAUGAAUAGGGCUCAGAGCAUUUUGACCUAUCUGCUUGGUCCACUGGGUUUCGGUAAUGGGGAGGAUGUAGCGGUGAAGGGGGAAGCACUCGUUAAAUC